rnacentral:misc_RNA from 1 species
AACCAUUCUCACCUGCGGCUAGACCUGCGGAAGGAUCAUUAACGCGCCGUGAAGGUCAGCCUUAUAUGGGUAGAUCUUUCACCUCGCCCACCCUUGUUUAUAUUUAACUGUUGCUUUGGCGGGCCUGCUAUUUAUAGCUGCCGGGAAAUUUAGAUUUUCGGGCUCGUGCUCACCAAAGUCUUUUAGUGAACUCUGCGUUUGAUUUUUAGCUGUCUGAGAAUAGAAAAAUUCUGAGAAAAA